rnacentral:lncRNA from 1 species
UGAGAUCGAGUUCUGCUAGUGUAUUUAACGGGAGGUAAACGUAAAUAUUGAUUGACAAAUUAAUACAAACCAUGAUGACAAUCUCUAAUACCACAUAAUUUCUGCAUGGCUUUUAAAUGAUAAGAAAAAUGAUAUAUGAAAUUAAAUAUAUAUAAUAUAUAAACAAUAGCUAAAUAGGCCACAUUAAUCAGAUGGUACAAUCACAGUCAACAAUAUGUAGUAGUAAUCAAUAAAACAUACCCAAAUAUAUCAUAAAUUACAAAUGAAACCCCAACAGAAACACCCUUAAAUAACAUAAACAAAUUUUAACAAACACAUAAAUAGUACAAAGUACUAGAAUUCAUCAACAUUAAGUACUUAUGGUAUAGGCACACCAGGGACACCAGGAAUCUGAGGAAUUUGAGGCACAGUUGGUAUAAUAGGAACAGUUGGAAUUUGAGGAAUUGUUGGCACAGUUGGUAUACCAGGAACAUUAGGGACUAAUGGAACACCUAAGUUUGGAAUAGUUGGUAAUGUUGGCAAUGUUGGUAGAGUAGGUAGUGUUGGCAAAUCAACUUUGGAAACUUCAUGUAUUUUUUGAAUGUUACGUGCCCCUUCAACAUUUGUCAUUGAUGAAAAUGCUAUAAGUACAAGUGCUAAAAUCAAUGACCAAAAAUUCAUGGAAGCCAUUUUUUUUAGCUUAAUACUAUUAGACUAUGAUAAUAGUUUU